rnacentral:sRNA from 1 species
ACUCAACAUUAAAUUGUUUAAAAAGGGUGAGUUUAAAUGGUAAAAGCAAGCCUUACUCGUAUAAGGAUCCUUGAUCUAUUUGUUAGCCCUAAACCUGUAUUUUGGAGUUU